rnacentral:rRNA from 1 species
AUUGAACGCUGGCGGCAGGCCUAACACAUGCAAGUCGAGCGAGCGGCGGACGGGUGAGUAAUGUAUGGGGACUGCCCGAUAGAGGGGGAUAACUACUGGAAACGGUGGCUAAUACCGCAUACUAUCGGAUAACCCAUAUGGGAUUAGCUAGUAGGUGGGGUAAAGGCUCACCUCGGCGACGAUCUCUAGCUGGUCUGAGAGGAUGAUCAGCCACACUGGGACUGAGACACGGCCGAGACGCCUACGGAGGCAGCAGUGGGGAAUAGUGCACAAUGGACGAAAGCCUGAUGCAGCAAUGCCGCGUGGAUGAAGAAGGCAUUAGGGUUGUAAAGUACUGUCAGCGGGGAGGCGUUACCCGCAGAAGAAGCACCGGCUAACUCCGUGCCAGCAGCCGCGGUAAUUC